rnacentral:rRNA from 1 species
GCAAGUCGAGCGGUAACAGAUCUAGCUUUCGAGAUGCUGACUAGCGGCGGACGGGUGAGUAACGCGUAGGAAUCUACCCAGUAGCGGGGGAUAAGCCAGAGAAAUGUGUUCUAAUACCGCAUACGCCCUUCGGGGGAAAGCAGGGGCUCUUCGGACCUUGCACUAUUGGAUGAGCCUGCGUGAGAUUAGCUAGUGGGUGAGGUAAUGGCUCACCAAGGCGACGAUCUCUAGCUGGUCUGAGAGGAUGAUC